AAGCUCCACACUGUAGUGAGAUCUUGGGAGCACUUGGCCCAGGGGAUGUUCAUGAGAUGUUCCUGCUGAUGAACUCUGCUUUGUUCCCCAUCUGUUUGAAUCCAACUCGUCUCCUGCCCUAAGAAGACCAGCUGAUUGCUCUGCUGGUACUAGCAGAUCAAUCUCACCGAAACAGAUGUGUUUUUCCUCUGGCCUUGAAGAGGUUAGUUUUCCAAACACCUGCGAUUACCUGCUGAGCUUAAGCUUUGUACUGCACUACUGGAGCACCUAUAACAUCCCACUUGUAUCCUCGGGGAACAGAAGUUGCUCUGGCCUUAUGUGUACGUGAUGUU
rnacentral:lncRNA from 1 species